CCAGUUCACUCUGGUGCAGAAGGUGGACCUGCUGGCCAACCAGAUUCAGAGGGGACAUACCCAGCUGUCACAGAGAGUUCUAGGUUGCUCUAAUCUCACAUUUCAUUGACAGCUGGGGCAUUUUACCUCUGAUAUCACCUGUGGCUUAUCCAACUGUCCAGAGGCUGGGGAAACCCUGCAAGUUCCAUAACCCGUUUUCACAUUACUGAUGGCAGAGAUGAGAAGACAAUAAAUUUCUAACUUCUCACCAUUUCCCAGACAUGCCUUGCUCUUUCAUGGCUCCAGGUCUUUGUACUUGUGUUUCCCUCUGCCGAAAGCAUGUGUUCUUCUCCUAGCAAAGCCUAUUCCUCGUUCGCAGGAGUGGAACAUCACCUCCAUUUGGGCAUCACCUUCUCUUGGAUGCCUUCCUUGACCACUCUGCACCCUACACUGCACACCAUCAGUCAUCGCCUUUCUUCUCCCUUUGUGAACCUGCACCUGCCCACACCCUGCCCCAGUCACUGGUGUGAUACUGCCCCAUCAGUGAGAAUGACGCUUCUGUCCCCCGAGGGUGCCACAGAACCUGAUCUAUAGGAAGUAUUGAACAAAUGUUUGCUAAAAAGCAGAAUGAACAGUUGGAGGGAGCUGGUGGAAAUUCCUUUGAGGCAAAGUGCUGAUCUAGCUAGAAACUUUCUUAAAGUGGUAUUCCCUUAAAGCAUUUUGGUGGAUAUUAGUCAUUGUCAUUUUAACCUCAAUUAAUGUGUUUUAAAUGAGUUUUUCAUUUGUUUGGUUUCUGUUUGUUUGGUUUUUGGCAAUGUAGGACUUUUUGACCUCAAGUCCUGAGAUAGUUUUCCCUCAAAUUCCUUGGAAUUUGUCAUCAGGAUGUUCACCAAGGAAAGGCUGUUUUUGAAUCAAAUAUACCCUUUGAGACAUUCUCAAAUUGGAAACUCUAUUUAAGACAGGAAAUUCUUAUUUGAGCACACACGUGUGUGUGUGUGUGUGUGUGUGUGUGUGUGUUCAAAUAAGAAUUUGGGGUUGUCUGUCUUUCACAUUUAAAAGUAUCUUUCAAGUAUUUUCCCAGGCCUUUUGUACUAUCGUGUUAUCAACAAUCCCGUCUAUCCUUUAUUUUAUGGUUUCCAGAAUAGAACACAAAAUAAAUGAGAAGCUACAUUGUGUGUUAAGUUUUGUGUGAUAUAACAAAAAAAGGUUUUAAGCAAUUUGUUUUGCUUGGUUUCUUUUGCAAACAAUCUUAUUCUCUCUCUUUCUCCCCUGCUCCCAUAUUGUCUCAAGUUAAUGAAAGACCCUAGGUUUGAAGAGAUUACAAGACAAGUCAUCAGAACAACCUGUGGGCAGUGUAAUGAAGCCUGGCAGUUAUCACAACUAUCACCGCUUUAAAAUAUUAAGUAUGAUACACAGUAGCAUCAAUUUUUAAAAUGUGGUCCUGGUAUUCCUGGCAGAUCCUGAGAUCUUUCUAGGAAGCCAAUGAGGUCUUCUUACUCCUCUGUGUGAUGAAAUGGAAGGCACUCACACUGGUCACAGUGGUCAUCUCAAGGAAAAGUACUUGUGCAUCUGAGUUGCAAGCUAAACUAGCAGCUCUUCUCCUGGAAUGCAUUUUUUUUUUUUUUUUUUUUUUUUUUUUUACAGAAAAGAAUGAACAAGUGUCAGAAAAGAAUGUUUAUUCAGACUUGGAUAUUUUAAAGACAUUUUAUCAAAAAUAAACUAAGUGAGCCUGCCACUUCAAAGAACACAACCGACAAAUUGUCGUCAAUAAUACUUGUCACGUUUCUAAGCAAAAAUCAGUUAGGAAGCUUCUGUCUACCAGCAUAAGCUUGACUUUUACCUAAUGUAUACUAUAAAACAUCCAGCCUCACACGGAUAUGUAGUGAGAAAAGGUGGAAGUAUUUUAAUAGCCUUUUAAGAUAAUUAGAUAGUUUAGAUAACUAAUAAUUUAGGAGAUAAUAAUUAUUCUCCUUUGAUACUGCACUAAAAACUGGCAUGUAGUAGUUUUUUAAAUAGUUGUUGGAAUGUGGAAUUUGAAGCCACAUAAGUGAUUUUUUUUUUUCUUUUUUGAGAUGGAGUCUCACUCUAUCUCCCAGGCUGAGUCUCACUCUAUCUCCCAGGCUGGAGUGCAGUGGCGCGAUCUUGGCUCAUUGCAACCUCUGCCUCCCAGGUUCAAGCCAUUCUCCUGCCUCAGCCUUCUGAGUAGCUGGGAUUACAGGCGUGUGCCACCACACCCAGCUAAUUUUUGUAUUUUUGGUAGAGAUGGGGUUUCACUAUGUUGGACAAACUGGUCUUGAACUCGUAACACCGCCCAGCGGUUGAUCUGCCUGCCUCGGCCUCCCAAAGUACUGGAAUUACAGGCGUGUGCCAUUGUGCCUGUCCAUAAGUGAUUUUUUUUCAUAUUUUAUUACAUUACUUCAUAUACUUCAACCAAACAACAUAUCACAACAUAUUGAAGGCAAAAGCAGAUACAAAAUUCGGUCAUUUUAUAUUAAAGCUGACUUUAAUUUAUAAAUUUAUAAAAGUAUAAAACAAUAUAUAUCUUCUCACUCAUUUUUAUUUUAAAAAUAGUUACUUUAUUAAAAUACGUUAUUUAUGUUAAUAUGUAAUAGGCUUAUAUUGUCAUAUUUGCAUGCAUUCAUAUAUAUUUUUAACUGUCUCAGUUUUAAUUGCUCAUACAGAACAUAAUUAGUAGAUAUAACCCAUACAAACAGAAGCUCUUUGGGGUCCUCAGUAGUUUUAAAGAGAGUAAAAGCAUUCUGUGAUCAAAAAGUUCAAAAACCAUUGCACUCUAACAAUCUUUGAGCUUGCAAAAAUUACCUCAAAAAGCCAUUUUCAGUAUGGAAUGAAUGGGUGUGAUGGCCCAGUUUCCAAUACCUACCGUCAUUUAGCCCCCAUUCCUUUUGAGCUAGUCCAGAGAGGUGUGGCUGGUAGGCAGAGAGUUGAGGCCUACAGAGCUCUGGUCAUUUAUCUAAAAUAUAGUUCUAACUCUAAAAUGGACAAAGGCUAAUAGCUGCACAUUUGUCCUAUAAGACAGAGCCCCAGUAUUAGGUGGUUGUGUGUAUCUCUUUUCCAUAGCAUCAACCCUGUAUCUCAGUGUAGGUAGCAUGUCAUCUUCUAGAAAGGUAACUUGAUACAGACCCAGGCUUGAAGAUAAGAGCGCCGGGUUCUCUUCUCAGACUCACCAUUAACCAGUCUUAUGACCUGAGCAGUCUCUCUCUCUGGACUUCAGUGUCCUUAUUCACAAAAGGCAGAUGUUUGGUAACAGGACCAUACGCUCUCUAAGAUAUUUUUCAACUUGGAAAUUCUAUGAAUCAAUUUGGAGAAAUAUUUGAAAGACAAUAAGAAUAACAGUUGACUUUUAUAUGGUAUUUUAUACUUGCUAAAUUACUUUUCCUUCCAAAUUCUUGGCUGGUGUUAAUUUCACGGCAAUUGAGAUUAAGGAUUCCAGAGGCGAUAGACUGGUAUUGAGUUCUGAUGUGUCACUAACCAGCUGUGUGGCCUUGAGUAGGUUAUUUAACCCAUCUACAGCUCAGAGAGUUGAUAAGGUGAUUAAAUGAGGUAAGGCAUGCACAGUAUUUAGAAUAGAUUCCGGCCUAUGUUACACACACAGUAACUAUUAUUAACACCUGAUUCAAUGUAUUGUAAUUGUAUGUUCACAUGUCUCUCUCCCCUCCUAGACUAUGAACUCCUUAUAGAUGAAGACCUCAUCCUGCUCAUCACUGCAUUCCUAGCAUAGUGCCUAGGUCAUAAUCAGUACUCAGUAAAUGCUCACUAAAUGGAAGAGUGGAUGACUUAUGUGAUAGUUUAAAUCAUUGUCCAGUAUAUAUUCAGUUCUCGAUACCUCCUUCUUUGGGCAGAGUUUAAUUUUCCAUGUUAUUUGGGUUGAUCCAUGAGAUUUCAGAGGGCUUAAAUGCACAUGUAUAGUUUGGCUUGAGUCUUGUGCUCUGAUGAUGAUAAUGGUGAUGAGGAUAAUCCAUGAGAAUUGUCAUCCAGAUAGCCAGUGCUUCUUUAGCAUGGGCCCCAGAAUGACAGAGACAGUGUAGCAGACAAUCAUGCUCUGAAGAACAGCCUUCUAGCCAGUACCACCCCUAAUCACAGACAGCUCUCCCAGGCAGUGCUGUAUUUCUUUCAUGGCAUCAUGUGAGAUUAAGCUGCCAGAAUUUUGCUGAUUUGGGGUGAACAGAAUUGUUUAUAUAUAGACAGGUCUCCACACGAAAUAUUCCUGUGUUGUCCAUACACUCCAAAAGCAGCCCUGCCAUGAGCCAAGGCCAUCCUAGACCACCUGAUAUUGACCUGAAGACUCAUGAAUACAAGAAUACAUGUCUGUUGCUAAAUGACUGAGAUUUGGGGAUGGUUUUAAAAAUGACAGUAAUGUGGCAAUCAUAGAUAGAUUGAUACAACUGUACAAUCUAUGAGGUAAUUGUUAUUGUUCUUCCCAUUUUAAAUGUGAGAAGAUUAACAAAGGGGAUAUCAUCUAGAAAGCACUUGUUCGCUAAUAAUAGAAAACAGCUCAAAUUGUUAUACAGGAUAAUAGAACCCAAAAAGGCAGAGGUAGUGCAAAGAGAGCUCCUGAUGAAGCUGAGCCAGUGGGUCCCCAGGGUCACCAGGAUCCCAUUUCUAUGUAUCUAUUCAUAUUGCCUUUUGCCAUGACAGUUUCUUCUUCGAGCUGCUAUGGGCUCAUCUGUGCAUAUUUGCACAGGCAGAGUUCCUAGAGCCUGUACCAUCUCUACAAGGUCCUCAAGACUCACUCUGAGCAGACCCUCUAGGGUCAACACCAGUCCUUAUCCAUUCCCAAUUCUACCCUGUGUAUGUGUGUUUUUAAUCAUCACUCACUUAUUUAACAAAUAUUUAUUGAGUGCCUUCUCUGUCAGGUACUUUUCUAUGUAGUGGGAAUACACUAUUGAAUGAGGCAGGAAUAGUCACUGUGCACGCGGGAGUUACAUACUCUAUAUUGUAUAUAAUAAUACAGACAAAUAGGCUAGGGAGAGAGGGAGCUAGAUAAUUAUAUAUACAGAAACCUAAUGAUGGCUAUCAUUUACCAAGACCAAAAGCAGGCAUUAUGCCAGAGGUUUUUAAUUCAAUCUUCAAAAUAAUGUUACAAGAUAAGACUUAUUGUUCACAUUUUUAUCAUUAACAAAAUGGUACACAGCAAAAAUGAGUAAUUUACUAGGCUCAAACAACAAGGCUAAAUUUAUAAUUUUUUGUUACUCAUCUGCCAUGCACAUUGCCUGUCAUACAUGAAAAAUCCUGUUCCUCUUUGGAUUAACUAUAAUUCCCAUACCAAAUGAUGUUAGAAUAAACUAUCCUUUAUUAAUUUUAUUAAUUUAGCUAAAUCCCUUAGAAUGCUUUGGCUAAAUACAAAGUGCUUAGAACCUCAUUUAUUAAUCAAUUUUUCAAAAAUAAAACAUUUUCUGUAUCUGUAGAUACUACAUGUAUAUCAUUGGUG
rnacentral:lncRNA from 1 species